CUGAGGCACAGCAGUGGGAAAUUUUUAGCAUAUAAAGCUCCUGGGGAUAAGCCAGAGGAUCCACUAAGAAGCAAGUGCAUGUUACUGGCUGGCAAAUAGCACGGAGGGCUCUGCUUACCUGAAACAGACUGUGAAUUGUGACUUCAACUCCUGUUUCCUGAAUGUGAAAUGGAUGUUCCCCUCCAAUGCCUCACGUAAAUAAAUGCUCAUAUCUUCCCAGUACAGCUAGACAACAAAUACAACCUGACACUAAUGACGGAAGAUCUGCCCAGGUUCUCCAGCCCUAUGCUCUUAAUUAAAACAUGUACACCAGCACCCUGGGUUACUUAAUCAUCUCUGUUACUAUUUGACCAGUCCUAAUGUUCCCUGAAGCAAAGCAUCAAUAUACACUGGAGCUCAAGAUGAGUUUUGCAAAAUUGUCUGUUUGCUUGCUAGAAGAUACCAUCUAUAAGAAGAUUAAUCUGUCUUGUAACCACCGUAUCCCCACUGGCUGGAGCUGCAUGCAUUACAGAUGCUGCAUACAUAAUAAUUUACUAAAUAAGUGUAUUUGAAAAUGUAAUGCCAAAUGCUAUUAUAUCAUUAAAUAAGAAAAUUAUUGUUUCUUAACAAUGACUGAUGUGAGGUAAUAACAUUUGAGAAAUAUAUCUGGUUAAGGCCCAGUGUUAUAUGAUAAACAAGUUUUGUUCACCUCAAGAUUUAAUCUUUGGGGACACAAUUCUAAUUUUACCUGGUAAUAUUACUAUUUAUUCAUUAAAGCCUGAUCACAGCAAGAUAACAUAUUUGACACCACUAAUUUUGCUGUUAUUUUUCACUUCCUUUGAUCAGGAGAGAAAUUGAUUGACAUUUAAAUCCAUUGAAGUUCUAUUGGUAGCAGACUUUUUUCUCCAAUAAGAUACAUAGGAUUUAAAAUAUCUAAAUCCACUUUGUUCAUUAUUAUUUUUUUCUUCUUUUUGUUCUUCAUUGUCUCUUACUUCCAAGGAAUGAUAUUCCUAGUUCUUUUUAAAGAAAGCAAGUCACUAACCAGCAUUUUUAAAAAGCAAAAACAUGAUUAGAAAUGAAUAAGGUGAUAUAAUUUUGUCUCUAAAAUAAAAAAAAAGCUUCCAUUCAAGAAACCAUGUUAAUGUCCUGCA